rnacentral:lncRNA from 1 species
GCUGCGGUGCUCCGUCCCGUGAGCUAUGUUAUACUGAUUGGUGCUUCUAAAACCGAACCACAUGAAAUCAAAGCAACUGGCGCACUGAAAGCACGGUUGUGGAGUGUGUAUUUCCAACAGAAAUUUUUAGCUUUUCAAAAUUUCCACCAUCUAGAGAGAGACAGAGUAGAGGUCUGUGCUGCCGUAUCCAGAAAUCCAGACCAGAUAUUCCUCACCGUGUAUGCAAUCUGUAAUUUAUACUCCCUCCGUUCCGAAAUAGAUGACUCAACUUUGUACUAACUUUAGUAAAAAAUUAGUAUAAAAUUGGGUCAUCUAUUUUGGAACAGAGGGAGUAUACAGGAAAACGGUUGGUAGAUGAACCCUGAUUGGUCAAAACUGCUCACAAGUUGUGUUUCCUGGAACUCCGGACCGUUCCAGUCUGUACGCUUUGGCCUGAUCUGGAAAACCAUGUGCUGGCAGUGCAGCUCUCUGGACAUGCGCGAGAGAGCUACUGGCUUCUGCAAGGCCGUUGGAGCCAAGCCACGGUAAACUCAGGAUAUAUAUCCGCAGUCGUUGACGUGCUAGUAACACUGGCCGGCUCAUCCUCAGGGAUUCUGAGGUACCAAGAGUGUUUUCUUAGCGUAGGCCCGAGAUUUUGGGAGCGUAGUAACAAAGCGACGUGGACUGCGUCGUAUGCAACAGAAAACGAGCGAUGUGGACUCGGGCGUACGAACAAUCAAUACAGUACAGUACGCUUUUCUUUUCUUCUCUGAGGGAAAUACUACUACAUACAGUACGGCCGUCGCGUCAGUGUCCGACCCUCUGUACUUGCCAGGCCCCGGUCUCUAUUGUUGACUGGCAACGAAUCUAUCGGGGGAAGGGUAACAAAUUCCACGUUCCCGCCGGCCAACUCUCCUGUUGGAAGGUGACAAGCUGCCCGUGACCCACGCCGGCCACUUGACCACAGAUCCAUCGUAUCCCGCGGCAUGUUUCGUUUGUGAGUGCCUAGUGGCUAACUAGUAGUGUGGCGACUAUGCAUGGAGCUUAAGGAAUAAGGAAGAAGAACAUGUCCCCUUAUAAAUAAAAAAGAAAGAAAAGGAAGAACAUGCCACCUACUCCUACAUUGGAAAGUCAUUAUGGGUGAUGCAAGGGUGUCGUCUCUUUGAUUUCAUAUCUGUUUUGAACUUAGAACCAUCUCAAGAGGCGAUGCAAAAAUCAUCAAGAGGCGAUUCGAAAUCAUACAAAAAUGAUUGUGUCUUAAUUUGUGCCACUCGGAGAUACAAGAGGCAACAAUUAUCUCUAACUUUUCCCUUGGACUGAACACACCGCAACCAAGGCUUAAAAUCAUCACAUCUUUCUUGCACUCUCUCGUGUCAAGCAAGUUGCUGACACGCACGAAGGAACGCUGCAUCCCGGCCGUCUAUGGGCUCGAUCCGACGGCUCCCGGAGUCCCGGUGACCCCUCCCCUUCUCAUUUCAAACCGGCCGGCCCACGCCCCGCCGCGCCCGCGCCAAACCCCGCCUUCCUCCUUCCGAUCCGAGCCUCCCGCGCCGAGCCGCGACUCUCACUGACAGCCGGGCUCCCACCACGUUACCCCGCCCGGCCGGUACGAGCUCGGCCGCUCUGAGGCUUCGACCGGGCCCACGUGGCAGCGAGAGAGGAGGCUCGCGGGGCGGCCGCAGCUUCGUGGAAGCUUCCCCCGAACAAUCUCCUCGAGAACGAGUCCCCAUUCGCGACCGAAAUCCGGGCCGCAGAGACAGAAAAAACAAAACAAAUCACCAAGCUCCGCACCAGCACCACAGUGGCGAAGCCGCAACGUACUUGCGCCGGCCUCGCCCGUGGAACCUUCUAGAGCCUUGACGGCUGGAGCGGCAGGUGAGGCGAGUGAUCCCUGAGGUGUUCGAUCGAUCCCGCGGUGAUUUGGUUGUCUGAGUGCUCCUGUGUGUGUGUGUAUCUGCAGGGUUUCUGGUCGUCGUCGUCGGUGUCGGUGUCAUCUCUCCUGCGAGCGCUGCCGCGGACGCGGCGGCUGGCUGGUGUCUGAUUGUCGGGCAUGGCGGUCGGGAGCUCGCCGACGCCGCCGGAGAUCCGCUCGCCGGAGCGGGACAGGCCGGAGGAUGCGGCGGGCGCGGAGGGGGAGGAGGAGGAGGAGUUCGGUGACGCCUUCGAUAUACCCCAUAAGAACGCAUCCCACGACAGCUUGCUCCGAUGGAGGGUACGGGAUCCUUUCUCCCCUCACCCUUUUCCGUCAGACUGUGAUCUAAGCCGGACUCUGCUGGCUCGCAAAAUGCCCAAAAUAUCGCCAUUCUGGUGUUGAUUCCGUCCUGGCUGGAAUCGGGACGUGCUAAUUCUGCGCAGGAAGAAGAGGGGGUAGAAGAGGAAUAAUCAAACACUAAUGUUUUUCGUCUAGUGGAUACACUACACUGAGGUUUACUGACAUGUCAUUGACCCGAUGAUUUACAUAUUACUUUCAUUUUUUGUCCGCGUUUCCUCUAAGUCAAGGCAUUGGAGUCUGUUUGGCGACACUACCUUUUUUACUGCCGUGCACAUGCACAGAGCGGCAGAUAACUUCUCAUAAUAAAACUGAAAACACAACCAAAGUACUGAAACCAGAGGUCUGUCAUUCAUUCAUCCAAACAAUACUGGUUUUUGUGGUAUUCACAGGUUUGGGACAUUACAGAAAGAAGCAAACAGUAACACUUUUACUACAGCUAUAAAAUCACACUUAUACUUCAGCUAACCAGGCACUUUUGCAUAAUAGUUGUGAGUUGGGUUCAUUACAGUUUGCUGUGGCUACAGGUGAAGGACUCUUCGGGGUAGACAAAUAUGAGCCUUACUUAUUAUUUAGUUCUGAUAAAUAUGUCUAUUCUCUCCUUUCAGCAAGCUGCUCUCGUGCUGAAUGCUUCACGUCGCUUUAGAUAUACUCUAGACCUUAAAAAGGAGGAAGAGAAAGAGAUAAUAAGAAGAACGAUCCGAUCACAUGCACAAGUGAUACGGGUAACGUGUCGUUUUGCAGCUUAUGCACCCUAUUUCUCUUUCGGCUGUCUUCUUUUGUUCAUUCUAAUUUUGAAUUCUCCAGGCAGUAUUUCUUUUCAAAGAAGCUGGAGAAAAUGAUCCCAGAGGUACUCAUUCAUACCAUUAACCCAAGUGCUUCUUUUAUGCUAUGUUUAUGGAUGGCACUGACCCAAACGGUAGAAUAACUUUGGUUUUCUACAUUUCCUUCCUAGAUUGCAUCUGUGCUUCUUAGCCACAAUGUACCAAAUGGUGGGGUUAUAUGCAAACAUCAUGAAACAAAACAGUUCCCAAAUUUCAUUGGUAGCUGUAGUCAUUCAUUUCUCUGAUUUGCCUUUUUAAAAUUGAUCUCUACUUCUAAAUGUGCAAUAUUACAGCAAAAUUUCCAGCUCAUUUAUUUCGUACAAUGCAGCCGCUAUCUUUAUUUGUCUUACCAGCCUAUUCUCCACAUUUUCCCUGAUCAUUUUGCUUGUCUUAUUGUUGCCAUUUCAGUUGUAUUUUUCUAAAGGGCAGUCUUUUCACUUUAUACUUGCAAUUAGUCCAUCUAUUGUAUCUGUGCUUAUUUUGCAUACAAUGUAAUUUAUAUUCUUGUGCUAUUUUCAAUGUUCCUCAUCUGGGCAGAAGCUUAUACUGGUAUACAACUUGCAACUGGCUCUCGAAGUUUUCCAAUUGAAUUGGAAAAGCUUAAAACUUUAAACAGAGAUCAUGAUAGUGUUCUUCUUCAGGAAACUAGAGGAGUAAGUUAACACUGAGCUAGAAUUUAUUUAUUUUAACCUCGUCACCUGCUGCUAUUCAUUUGUGUGUAAUGACACUCUUCUUUUCAGGUUAAGGGGCUGUCAGAUUUAUUAAAGAGUAAUUUAGACAUGGGAAUUAAUCCAACUGAGGAUGAAUUGUUACAAAGGAGGGAUGUUUUCGGAGCAAAUACAUAUCCACGCAAGAAAAGAAAAAACAUACUGGUAUAGCUUUUUAAUGUUAUUUCUGUAAGUAAAUUGCACAAGGUCAAUCUUGCAAGUUUCUAGCCACUUGCAAUUUCAGUUUCCUUAUGGGACAUCUGCUCUCUUCAUUAUCUAGUGUCUACAUAUCUCUUCAUCGUUCCUUCUUUAGUGUAUGCUUUUUGUGUGUCCAAGCAGGGUUAAGCGUUCCAGUUACAUAAAAGUUGUAUUUUGGCAUAAGCUCCUCACGAAAUUCGAAGGUCACUAUUGGAAAAUUUAAAGUGCAUCUAUGCUGCAUAUUAGAAAAGUUGAUUACGAAGUAGUCCUAUGAGACUUUCUUUCAGUCCAACAUCAACUCAAUUUCAAUGCUUCAACAUAUUUGGUAUCAAAUUUUAACCAUACUGAAUUUUGGUAUUGCAGCGUUUUAUAUUUGAUGCAUGCAAAGAUUUAACUCUCAUCAUUCUAAUGGUAGCUGCUGCCAUAUCUCUUACGUUGGGCAUGGCCACAGAGGUAUUUUCUACCUCUUCACUAAUUGUUUCCUUAGAAUUAGCCUUUCAUCAUGUCAUCUUCCUUAGCCAUGGUAGUUUUGAACUUGAAUAAUUGUCAUGCUUUAAGGAUAACUAUAACUGCAUUUGUUAUUUUUUUUUCUCUUAUCUAGGGUGUUGAGGAAGGAUGGUAUGAGGGGGGAAGUAUUUUUUUAGCUGUUUUUCUUGUGAUACUUGUCACCGGUAAUUGAUUGAGUUUGCACAUUUCCUAUUAUAUUUGUUUUGUUUUUGUCUUCACCUUUAGCUUGCUGUGAUCUAAUUGUUUUGUUUUUGAUCUAUCUAGCAACCAGUGAUUACAGGCAAUCACUUCAAUUUCAACAUCUGAAUGAGGAGAAACAGAACAUACAAGUAGAGGUGAGUAUGAUCAUGUGUAACUGUAUUUUUGUGCAGCAUUCCCACUUUUGCUUACAUUCCUGAUUUACCAUAUCUUUUAAUUAGGUUCUUAGAGGUGGUAAAAGAUUUCGAACUUCAAUAUUUGAGCUUGUUGUCGGUGAUGUGGUUCCGCUGAAUAUUGGUGACCAAGUAAGAUGGUAUAUUAUUUGUCAACUCUGUUUAUUUUUUCACCCUAGAAUAAUUUGCUUACAUUCAUUAUUUCACAUUUUAGGUUCCUGCUGAUGGUAUCCUGAUAUCUGGCCAUUCUCUUGCAAUAGACGAAUCAAGUAUGACUGGGGAAUCAAAAACUGUGAGUUCCGGUGCAAAACUUCUUUCUUGUGGCGAUUCAAACAUACUUCUUUUUUGCGGCGAGACUCAAACACACCUCUUCGGAUUUUCAUGAUGUCAUAUCAUUUUUUAGGUUCACAAGGAUCAAAAGGCUCCGUUCUUGAUGUCUGGUUGCAAGGUUGCAGAUGGCUAUGGUUCUAUGUUGGUGAGUACCACACUACCACUAUCUUAAGUUUUUUUUUUGCGGGGCACUAUCUUAAGUGUUUAAGCAACAUGUUAGGCUAACUUACUGUUUUCAGUGUCACAAUACAUAGCAUUUUUCUCUCCCUUAUUUGUGCCUUUCCUAUAUUUCGAUUCUUAAUGGUUAGACUUUAUAUAUCAUAAUAUUUAUCCACUUUGCCUAUCAAAUACAAAGGUAACAGGUGUGGGUAUCAACACUGAAUGGGGCCAGUUGAUGGCUAACCUUUCUGAAGAUAAUGGUGAAGAAACCCCAUUGCAGGUUAAUCUCUGUUCGGACUCAUCUAUAUUCUUGCAUGAAUGAAUACUGAUGAGACCCUUUCAACCAUGGAGUAGGUGCGUUUGAAUGGUGUUGCUACUUUUAUUGGCAUGGUGGGUCUGUCAGUAGCUGGUGUUGUACUUGGCGUGCUUGCGAUAAGGUAUUUUGCAUGAUAAUGCAGCACAAACAAAUAUACAUACUCUUUAUAACCACUUACUGAACUACAGAUAUUUUACUGGACAUACCAAGAAUCCGGAUGGGACUGUUCAAUUUCGGGCUGAAACUACUGGUCUCAAACAAGGAUUUAUGGGUGCAAUCAGAAUUUUAACAAUCGCCGUAUGUAUUUUUUGUACAAGUAUACAGCUAAUAUCUUGAACCAUUUUCAUCCUUUGGUGACCUGAUUUUGUGUAAUACUAUCCAUAGGUAACCAUCGUAGUUGUUGCUGUGCCUGAGGGACUUCCACUGGCAGUAACAUUGACGUAUGGAUCUCCUUACUGUGCAAAUUACUUGAAAAUUUCAGUCACAUGACUAUCUAUAUUUUGUGGUUUCAGACUUGCGUAUUCAAUGCGAAAGAUGAUGCGAGACAAGGCGCUGGUAAAAAAACAAUCCUAUUUCUGUAUAAAACAUUCACAUGAUAGGAAACUUUAUCAUCCUUACUUUCUUUAUUUAGGUGAGGCGGCUCUCAUCUUGUGAAACAAUGGGAUCAGCAACUACUAUAUGCAGUGAUAAGACAGGAACUCUCACCUUGAAUAAGGUUUGUAGAAUCAAUCUGGUGCUUGUGCCAUGAAACACCGUUUGAAGAUCUGUCAUGAUGCUAUUCCAAGUCCCAAUACGCUGCCCUGACAAGAGGCCAAUUCUUUCCAUUUACUUUAAGUCUUGGAACAUACCUGUCACUCUGUCAGCAUCGCAGAACCAAAAUUAACACAAAAACAUCACCAAUUUGAUGCCAGGAUCUUUGGGUGUUGAUAAUACAUUUCUUUAUUGUUGUUGGUUACAAGCACAUCUUCUGCUAAUUUUGUCUUUGCUUGUGGCCUUUUAAAGACCAUGUCAUCGUGGUUCGUUUUGUAAUCCUUAUAUUAUUGAUUAUGUAGAUGACAGUUGUGGAGGCACACUUUAUCGGGACAAGGUUGGAUCCUUGUGAUGAUGUUAGGGCAAUCUCAAGCAGUUCAGCGGCACUGCUUAUUGAAGGAAUUGCACAAAACACUACAGGAACUGUAUUUUUGCCAGAGGUAUAUCAACUUUAUUUCUUCCUUCUUUUAAUAUUAUUAGAGGUACCUGAAUUAUCUAUUAAAUUAGAGGUACCUGAAUUAUCUAUUAUAUCAGAGGUACCUGAAUUAUCUAUUAUAUUAGAGGUACAUGCAUUAUCCAUUGUCCAGAAAAGCAAUAACAUACAGGUCACCAAUCUGUAAUGUAUAACCCAGCUAGCCUAGAUUUAACUGAAAAGAUCAGCAAUUUUGAUUAAGUUAUGACUGGUUACAGCCACUUUGUAAAGAUUUGUUAGUUUACUUUUUAUGUAAAACAUGGUGGUCCAUAAUGCUAUUUGAGGAACAUUGGAGAUGGUAAUAGCUCAGUUUUCGCCAUCCGAUCUUUAUUUUUAAUGUUUUUUCAGGAUUUUUUACUUUUAUCAUAGGAGUUCAACUUAGUGUUCUCUUCUGUGCUAAUCGCCUGGGAGUGAGUGAACUUUGCACGUGGUCCUGCUACGUUUGAAAUAUAAGUGGUCAACAGUGGACAACAAGCACCUGGCCUCCACUUGCAGCUAGAAACAUGCACGUUCUGUAGUUUCUCUGCAGUACUCCUAUUCACUUGCUUGUGCAUGUUGAUAAACUGGGAAAGCGUCAGGCAGGAGAUUACUAACUACUUUCUGAAAGUAGCAAGCGGAGAUUGAAUCACAUUUCAAAUGAGAUCGAGUGGAGUCCAGAAUAAUGUAUCAGCUGUCAACACUUUGUCAGUUCCACCAAAUCCAUGAAAAUUAUGCUCACUUGAGGUUCUUAGCAGUGUGGAAAUUGGGUGUUAACAGCUGGUUACCUGUAAAGGCACUGUCCGAGUUAAAGAUAUGAUCUCAUAAAAUUACCCCAAUUUUAUUAUUUCCUGCCAUUAACCAGACAGAAAUCAGAACUGGGCAGAUGCUUGGAGGCAGUCUAGGGAGAAUUCUAUGCUAACUGUCAUCUACAUAUAUCAGUUGCUUCCACAAAAUUUCAUCUGUCUUCUUUUCAAUGUAUAGGAUGGGGGAGCAGCUGAUGUUACAGGUUCACCAACUGAAAAAGCCAUUCUUUCUUGGGGCCUUAAGGUACUACUGAUUUUGCUUCACACAGAGUGUCUCCUUUAAGCUUCUUUUGUUGACUUGGCCUAACGCAGUUGCACCUUGCACAGAUAGGGAUGGAUUUCAACGAUGUUCGGUCAAAAUCUUCAGUUCUUCAUGUAUUUCCAUUUAACUCAGAGAAGAAGCGAGGUGGUGUUGCAGUGCAGGUAGUAAGGCGCAUAUGUAUCUAGAACCAUUGGUACAUCUAAAUUCGUGAAUUAGACGAGUGUAUCCAUGAAGAAUUUAACCACUUUUCAGGCUUAUUUAUAUUUGGGUGCUUCAUUAUUCCAAUCCUUUGUAAUUUACCACAUGUAGUUGGUAAUAUAUGUUUUGGUUAUUAGUGCUUGUGAGUUGUGAGAGUUGACGCUAUCAAGUUUAACAGCUUCAGGACUAUUGGCUCCUGGUAGGCUGAUGUUUGUUUUCCUGCUGGAUAUCUCCCGGGCAUGGCUUAAAGGACGAGCCAUAUUUCUCACUUGAAGCACUCAAAUAGGGUUAUCUACCAGUGGCAAACAGUUUCUCAAACUUGUUUAAGUUUAAUAUUAUACCAACCAGAAGGGUUUUGAGAGUCCCCUUCGUGAUGACCAGUUACUUUUGACGGCACAGAUGGCUGGUAUUGCCAAGUAGUUCUCGAUAUGAGCAUUGGAUGCCAUUGAGCAUUUGUUCUGAUUAUAGCAUCAGGAGAGUGUUCCUUGGACCUUAUGUCUUUUAGUAUGCACAGAUCUAUGAUUUGAAUUACGCAGUGUGUACGUUGUUUUGGUAAAAACUCCUGUUUUCUAUUGUUUCGUAGCCCAGUUUUUUGUUCAUGUUACCUCAAGGGUGUUUGGUUACUAAUUGCAGUCAGAUACCGGGGUCCACAUCCAUUGGAAAGGUGCAGCUGAGUUAGUGCUAUCAUCUUGCAAAAGUUGGCUUUCUCUGGAUGGUUCAGUUCAGCCAAUGGAUGCACAGAAGGUAACUGCCAUGCAUAAUUUGCCACCUCAAUUUCUUAUGCACUCUUACAAUGUUGAAAUGUUUGCAGCGUAAUGUGUACAAGAGAUCAAUUGAAGACAUGGCAAAGAGUUCACUACGAUGUGUUGCUUUUGCAUAUUGUCAAUGUGAUAUUGAAAAAAUUCCGAAGGAAGACAUAGCUGAUUGGAAGUUACCUGAGGAAGAUCUGACUCUGCUUGGUAUUGUGGGCAUAAAGGUUGGUCCUUAUUGUUCGGUAGAUUCACUUUCAGAUUGAUUGUAUCUCUUAAUUUUGAGUUUGACACAAAUAACUAGGGUUGCUUCCCGAUACCAAAAGAUAGCCCUGUGUAUAGUGUCCUAUUCCAUGCUCUAUAGUGCCUGUGCUGGGAACAUAGGGUAUUCAGUUAAUCAAAUAUAUGUUUCACUGAUGCAUCAGCUUGCGGCUAUAUGUAUGCUCAGAUAGACAGAUAGUAUACGGCUGAUCUGAUUCAUCGUCUUAUGAUUUUCACAACCUAUCCAUGCUUUCUGGCUUUUGCUAAAACAUGAAAUAUACCAGUAUGCAUCAUAUUAUCUCUAAAUGAUUCAUCGCCUUUUGUAUGUAUAUGAGGCAUCAUAAUUUGCAAGCAUAAUUUCUUCUGGUUAGUCAUACUGCAUUACUUGAUGACAAUAUCCAUCUAUUACUCCUGCUAUAAAGAGUAUCUUCGCCUGUAGGAUCCAUGUCGCCCAGGAGUGAGGAAUGCUGUACAAUUAUGCAAAAAUGCUGGUGUAAAGGUAUAUCCUACUUGUGUUCUUAUUUUUCUUGUUCUCAUUGGAAAUGUUUCACCUCUAAUCUAUAUUAGUCAUCGACGGAAUGAACUGUGAAGCUAAAUCCUCCAUGGUAUUUCUCAUGUUCUCAAUUAGGUCUAGCCUUUUACUUCUCACAGGAUUGGCUCAUCAUGUUUGUAGCUGGGCAAGGUUUCUAGCCAUUUUCAGUUUCUUUACUUCCUAUGCCAUGAUGCUAUUCAUAUAAUUUAUUUUGUAUUUUGGGACGUUCAAUUGUUUGUGUCCUAUUCAUAAAACAUGACUCUUUGUAAACUUUGACCUUGCUGGUUAGUUUCUCAAUCGUUACAAAACAUGUUAGUUUCUUAAAGUUUUUGUUUUCCUUAAAAUGGAUUUUUUUCGUCAUUUCCCCAUUUUGAAUGUCACUGCUUCUUUUGUUGGCUUUAAUAUUUGUUACAUUUGUACAUGUAGGUGCGCAUGGUCACAGGAGAUAAUAUUGAAACAGCCAAGGCAAUAGCGUUGGAGUGCGGAAUACUAGAUGCAAAUGGUGUUAUUUCAGAGCCAUUUGUAAUAGAGGGAAAAGCGUUCCGCGAGAUGUCUGAAAUUGCAAGAGGAGAGAUUGCUGACAAGAUAACUGUAACUCUCUCCAUUCUUAAGUCCCUUGUGUAUAUAUGUUAUACUGUGUUGAAGUAAUAAACUUUAUCUGUACUAAGCACAAUGAUGUUUAUGACUUACUUGAAGUCAUUUGAAGUGGUGAAUCCUUUUGUAUAACUUCUAGUUUUUCUAUCCUUCUCAGGAAGUCAUUUUCUUUGAAGUUUCUGACAUUCUUCUGAUUGUUCGACAACUAAUUAACUUUGAAUUUCAGGUCAUGGGAAGAUCAUCUCCAAAUGACAAACUUUUGCUUGUCCAAGCUUUGAAAAGGAAAGGCCAUGUUGUGGCUGUCACUGGUGAUGGCACAAAUGAUGCCCCUGCAUUGCAUGAGGUGUCAUGUGUAACUCAUGAUAAGCUAUUAGUGGUCAUUUAUCUUGAUAUUGCAGAAGCUUCUGAUUUAUUCUUAUAUCUAAUGCUUGAUCUGUUGUAUAGGCUGAUAUAGGUCUUGCAAUGGGCAUGUCAGGGACAGAAGUUGCUAAAGAAAGCUCUGACAUUAUAAUCUUGGAUGAUGACUUCACAUCUGUUGUGAAGGUUAGUGUUUUCUACGUUUUUUUUUGGAAGAAAUCCUUCUUAUGAAGGAUAACUGUUCUCAGCAAUCAUGAUGGAGUUUUUUUAUGGGAUGUCCCCGAAGGGACAUCAUGAUGGACUUUUUCUUCUGUAACAAACUGGCAUGGUGCUUUGACGGCAAUAUACCAUCAAAGUAACCUGUGAGUGAUAUCAUAUUUUGUGCUAAUUGCUAUCAGCUUCAUUGCCAAAAGAGAGAAAAAAUGCUAUUGGUUGACAGUGUGUAGAGAGUACAGUUCAUGGAGAAGCACAUAUAAGCCCGUACAUGUUCUGAUAUGCUGCCUUAUGCUGCUGAAUAGCCAUGGCAUGUUAAGACUUAAACAUAGUGUAUAUGCAAAAUCCUUUGUAGAUUGUGCUUAGGCACAAAUUCUGGUCGCUCAACCUUCUUGUGAUUUUGUGCACUUACACCUCUUAUCUCUUUUUCUUUUUUAGGUUGUUCGCUGGGGACGCUCUGUCUAUGCAAAUAUUCAGAAAUUCAUCCAGUUCCAGCUUACUGUUAACGUUGCCGCACUUGUGAUUAAUGUUAUUGCAGCUGUGUCAUCUGGUGACGUGCCUCUAAAUGCUGUUGAGGUUGGGACCUCUCCUUUUUUCUUCCAACUAUUUUUCAAUCUCUAAUAUUUUCAUUACUGCCAUUGCCACUUCUGUUGUGCAUGAAAGAUGUGCCGAAAUCUUAAUUGUAAGUACAAACACUUGUAUGCCAAGGUUGGCUCUCAUGCACUAUGUUCCUAAUUUGCAGCUUCUCUGGGUGAACCUUAUCAUGGAUACACUGGGAGCUCUUGCUUUAGCAACUGAACCACCAACAGACAACCUUAUGAAGAGACAGCCUGUUGGUCGAAGGCAUGUAAUAUCACCCUACCUGUCUAGAGUAUCGCAUUAUAUGUUUCAUGAAAUGAGUUGAACUGUUUUCUACAUAAUUUACAAUAUUUUCCCUGUUUUCUACUUCAGGGAGCCACUUGUGACCAAUAUUAUGUGGAGAAACUUGUUUGUCCAGGUUGAAUUUGCGUGACUCAUUUGUAUUCUUAGAGCAUACAAUUGUUGUUUCAUAUUCUUCUGUUGUUCUGAUUUACAUGGAAUUUUUGCAGGCCAUUUACCAAAUAGCAAUCCUUCUUAUCUUUAAUUUCUCUGGAAAAAAGAUUCUACGGCUGCAGAAUGAAAGUCCAGAUAACGCCGAGAAAAUGAAGAACACAUUUAUCUUCAAUACAUUUGUAUUUUGCCAGGUUGGUUGGAUAUUUUCUGAUUCAACAACUGUAACAGGGUGUUACUUAAAUUCUAUGGUGCUCUUUAGAUAGAUUAAUAUUGGUAUUUGAUUUAUCUAAUAAAUGUUCAUGUUAAGGGUAGUAUAGUGGCAGUGGUUGUCAUCUUAAAUAAACUGACCUACCAUGUAAACUUAAGUUACUCCUUAUAAUAGGAUAUAUCAGUGUAAAUUGCAUUCUGUAAAAUAUUAGACUUGCUGUGGAGCUGACACCAUGAAUAGUGACUGGCUAGCCUGUAUCUGACCUAACAUGGUAACAAAAGCAUUGCUACUUAUGCUCCAUGGUGUAACUCUGAGUUGUGAAAAGGGGCAUGUGUCAAGGGCCCGAGGUCUUACGAAAUAAAAUUCCUCCAGUUGUUCAAAAAGUCUUCAUGAUGUGAAAAGGGGCAUAUGUCCUUAUUGUCAAUUACCGUGUGGUUUUUUCUUAAACCAGCCACUUCAGUGGCUUGGUCUUAAGGUUUCAACAUAUGUGUAAUUUAAGUUAGCCCUAGUUAAGUGCCACCGGUAGUUGCCUAGUUAUGUAUGUUUCUCUCCUCAAACCGGAGAAAGCAGGAUGCCCAGAACAUUGCUCGGGUAAAUGCUGAAAUGUCAUUGAUUAAUUAUCAACAAGUGCUAGUGUCCUAUGAAACAUUGUGUAGGUCGCAAAUGUAUCGUUAGUUUGUCAGUCCUGAUAGUUGAUUGGGAAUCAGCCUAUAAGCAGUCUGAUGCCAUUUUGGAACCUUGGCCGUACAUACUGCUAGACACUAUUAUUAGUUGGUCCCAGUUUGGGAAUCAACAAGUGCGAUCUUGUCAAAUGCAGUGGCGGUCCCAGUUUGAGGUAAACCACCCGAGUGUAUUAUGAUCUAUGUAAACUUAUCAUUACCAAAAAAAAAGAAUCAAGAAAUUGCCUCACACUGUACUUACUAAUAUUAGUUUUAUGUAGUUCUGAACAAAGAUCUCUUAAACUUGAUUUGCGUUUUAUACCAGAUCUUCAACGAGUUCAAUGCGCGUAAGCCUGAGGAAAGGAAUGUCUUCAAAGGAGUAACAAAGAACCACCUCUUCAUGGGAAUAGUUUGUGUAACUACCGUGUUUCAGGUAACAGGACAUGCAUGGUUGUUGCACUGAAUGUCCUAUCAUUCUUGUCCAUGAAGUGGUGAUAAAGUUGCUCUCUCCUUUGCCAGAUACUAAUAGUUGAAUUCCUGGGAAAGUUCUUUAAAAUUGUGAGACUUAACUGGAGUCUAUGGUUAGUUUCAGUUGCCAUUGGCGUCGUAAGGUACACACUUCAAAAUUUAUCAUUUAUGCAAGGUUUGCAAUUAGUACACUAUCCAUCGUUUUAAGGUUAUGUAAUCAAUGUGUCAUACAGUUAUUUUACGGAUCCAGAUGCCUUUUGGCCCCCAUUUUCUGUGUGACUAGGUUAAGGUUCAUAUUAACAUGCACUCUAGACAUUCCCGGGGUGUUCUAACAUCUGUUUUUUGUUUUUAUUUAUCAUGUACUUUUCGACUGUAAUCUCAUCAUGGACAUUUUGUGAAGUUUUGACCUCCCUUUUCUCUCUGAUGUUCCAGCUGGCCUUUGGCUUACCUAGGGAAAUUCAUUCCUGUUCCUGUAAGACCUCUCCAGGCCUAUUUCAAGCCUUGUUGGAAAUCAUCACGUCGAGGUAAGUCUCCACUCUAUAGUUACUGGAUAAUGUUCUGCAUCAACGUUGGUCUAACUAGCUUACCAUUAACGCGUACUGUAACGCAGACGAGGAGGAAGGCAGGCAGGGCUAAAAAGGAUGCAAAUCACCUGGUGUAAAUAGACAUGGGUCAGCCGAAGAACAGGAACCCGACCCGUACCACCUCUCCCAGUGGAGCAGAGCUGCGGAUUAUUUCUACUACAAGGAGAUGCAGUGAACUAGAAGCUUCCAAUGCAGGGACAGGUCAAGUGCAACCGUUGCUGUUAAUCAUUAUGGUUAUGGGGCUUCAUCGUGAUGCAGGUUAAUAUAAAUGAAAAUCCUACCUGGGAAGACAAUCAGUAGCAUCGCCACGGAAGUGACUGUUUUGUGAAUGUUCAUUGACUACGGAAGGUGACAUUUUUUUAUGCAAAUAAGUUGUGGUAGCUAGGACACACAUCGUAGGCUUAGUACAGUCCUAGGUGCCUUGGGGGUGUCAGACCUUCAUUUUGUUCAGGUUGAGUAAACUAGCAAGCAAUAAGAAAGAAUUAGCGGAAAUUUUCUGGUAAAUUUACACUGGAGUUCUAUCUUCAAAUGCUCAAAUGAUGAGGCUGUUUCCGACUUGGAUCAUCUUCAACAGAUGAUUCAUAAUAGGGCAGCUGCCAAAAAAAAAACUGUUUUUAGGGCCCUUGGACCAAAAUAUGAUGCUCCUGCGCUAUAUCUAUCUUGUACUGCAAUUUCUUUUUUGGGCAGCCCUAAAUUUUGCCCCCAAGUGCUGCAAAUUUGUAGCAGCCGGCCUGUUACCGUAAAACAAUUUCCCAGCCGGAACCAACUGACAUGAUGAAACUUCAUCCCGUAGUGCCCUGCCUAUCCCCUCGACCGCCGCUGGCUUGAUCUUGUCCGCCAAUGCCACCGUUGUGAGUUCGCAGUACGCCCUCGGCGCUGAUUCGAGGCUAUUUCGGCCAGCCGUCGCCGCCCAUUUGAUGGAUGUAGACGUGGACUAGUGGCCGCCAAAGUGUCGGGUUGACCACGCAAUGGCCGUGACAGAACCGAGUCGCCGCUACUUCGGAUGGCGUCAAUGGCACAUCAUCACCAUUUUUGCCGCAAGCUCGUCCUCUGUGGCGCCAACAAUGUCCUCCCAGGCCAUUUCUACCAGGCACGGCCAUCACCUCAAUUCCCACGAGCUGCCAGCCGGAUUCCUCCUCCUUGUACGCUAGGUGUUCGAGGAAUUGCCUAGAAGGUAUUUUUUUUCACUUCUUGUAUUGUUGUUCUGCACAGAGGAGUAGAUUGCAAUGGAAAUUAUUGUAUUAUUAUAGAUGAGUAUUAUUGUAGAUGAGUUCAUUUGAACCCUCUAUGUGGGAUGAUUCUUCGUCCGAAGAGGAAUAUGACAUGAACGAAGAGGAGGACAUUGCUUUAGUUUUGUUGAUGCACAAGAAAGUAAGAGGCUGAAGCAUGGUGGUUCCGUUUUCAGCUAUGAGGUGAUUCGUAGGAUUAGGCAAGAUGGGCACAACAGAUUGAUGCUCAACAAUUUUGUUUCAAAUGUGAUACUUCCCACACAAGCAUAGGUUGUCUUGGGAUUUGUUCCUUCACGUUGCUAAUUGUGUGAAGCAAUAUGAUCGGUUCUUUGAGCAGGGGAGGAAUUGCGCCGGAGAUCUUGGCCAUAACACUAUCCAGAAGGUGAAUGGCACAUUGCGCAUGAUGGCAUAUGGUGUUCCGGCUGAUUUCAUUGAUAAUAACUUGACAAUGGGAAAGAGCACUUCAAUCUUGCGCGUCAAUAAAUUUGCGAAGGCGGUGGUUAAAGUGUUUGGAGCAGAGUAUUUGAGAGCAUCGAAUGCUCAUGACACUCAAAGAAUUUUGGAGAUGAACAAAACACGUGGGUUUCUAUGCUUGGAUCAAUUGAUUGGAUGCACUGAAGGUUGAAGAAUUGCAUGCAUUUUCUCUUAUGCCUGGAUCUUGCAAUGACAUCAAUGUGCUCUGGCGGUCAUCACUCUUUGCAAAGUUAGCCAAUGACGAAUCACCAUAUGUGGAAUUUCAAGCAAAUGGUCGCACAUACAACACGGGCUACCAUCUUGCGGACGAGAUAUAUCCGAAGUGGGCUACCUUUGGAAGCCAAUUUCAAGCCCCAAGGUAAGAAAGAACUUUAUUUCCAUAAUGCUCAAGCGGUUGCUAGAAAAGAUGUGGAGAGGGCCUUUUGGGAUUUUACAAUCCCAAUUUGCAAUUGUGCGGACUAGCUAGGUAGGUUUUGGGUUUAGAGACCCUUUGGUACAUCAUCACAGCCAGCGUGAUCUUGCACAACAUGAUCAUUGAGAAUGAGGGUGGGAAAGAUUUGGAUUACACCUUCUAUAGACUCAUGGGACAACCAGUGUGGCCGCGUAGAAGGGAAGACCGACUCCGACGCUGAGUGUAACAUGACAUUUGAGAUUUCGAUAAGUACAAAUAUCUUCAAAAAGAUUUCAUGGAGAAGUGGUGGGCAUGGCAUGGGGCAACAAGCCCACUAGUUUCAUAUCCAUGUUUCACGUAUGUGUGAUGAUGAACAAUUUGUGUUAUGUUUUAUGAACAAUUUAUGUUGAACUUAAUGUUUUGGAUUGAUGAACUAUGUAAUAGUUAAGUACUAUUUGUGUUAUAAUGGUUUUGGAUUCAUUUGAGAUGAGUUUGAUUUUUUUGAAUAUGUACAUAAUUGUGGAAAACAAAAACAUAGUUGGGUUGCCCUAUUUCACAUCAUCUGCUACAGUAGAAUUUUAUUUAUGUCCUAAAACUGUUUUUGAGUGCCCUAUUUUACAUCAUGUGUUGGAGAUGCACUUACAGUCCUAGUAGUAGAACAAAACGUCUCUGAAGAUUAGGAGGAAAUAGGUUAAGUUGACAUACCAGAUAUGAUGCAUUUACAUAAAAAAUAUGAAAAUGUGUCGAGGACCUUCCACACUUCGCCCAUUAUGCAGGGGGUGGUAUCCUCAUUUGCAUGUGUUUAAUCUCCUCUAUUCUCUGGGGCUAUAUUCGUGUUGCAAGGACUUCUCCAUCUUACUUAAUACACACACAGAUGUGGUGCAAGCAGUCUCCAGGACGAAACUUGAGCACCCUGUGAUGACGUCUGAGGGAUGGAAACUGAUUUUGAUUAAAAGGAAAAGCUUCCUUUACCACCAACCGCCCUUGCAUCGAUGAAGUAUACGACAUCAUUGAAUACUUUACUACAAAUCGAUAAAUCAGUAACCUUACCAAAAAUGGGACAAGCCAUGCCUAUUAUGCACACUAACUAAACUAAAAUAUAAAUUCCAUGGCAAGCAAUUCGAGAAUCUUGCACCAAGCUGUGUCAACAUUCCAAUCCUUGUGUUGGGAUGGCUGUAAUAAAUUCCAUAAGACCAUAACCACAACCAAGUGGUACAUGAGAACAACACCUGCACACAUGAUUGGAUCUUUUGUGCCCACGAAAAACUAUAUCACUCUGAUGUAACCAAAUGGAGCAAAAAUCAUUGUAUCCCUAACCAAAAUAGGCGAAUGCAAGUACUUAUUCACCCAGCGGCCAUGACACAACAAAUAAGCUAGGCCACACAGGUGACGGAAGCAACCAUAGAAUGACUACUGAAGAAAUGCCCAUAGCACUGAAAGCAUCCAUAGGGUGACUAAUCAAGAAAUUCCCUCCGAUAAUAGUAUCUAGCACAAAUCUAUACCAAGUAGUAACACCCACAUAAAAAUUGCGAAGAAGAAUGGUAGUAGAUUGCUUACGAGUUGAUCUACUUUGGGCAUUGCAAAUCCUAUACCAAGCAUCUUUUAAAUUCUCCUCUCCCCUUUGUUUAAAAUUGAGAACUUCAUUUUUAGGGGUACACGAAACGAGAGAAGAACUAGCCAUAACGAUAAAGCGAGCAAACAAGCAAAGCAAGAAACGGAAAAUAUUUUUGCAUUUUUGUGAAAAUAUUUUAGAAGUACGGGAAGAUGAAAACGAGAGGCAAAUGACAAAUAAUGUAAAUGCAAGGAGAUGAAAGUUUAUGCGAUGGUACUUGAUAGAUGUUGAUGAUGUCUCCCUCGCAACGGCGCCAGAAAUUCUUCCUGCUACUUGUGAGCUGCGUUGGGAUUUCCUCGAAGAGGAGAGGAUGAUGCAAUACACUAGAGAUAAGUAUUUCCCUUAGUUAAGAACCAAGGUUAUUAAUCCAGUAGCAGCACCAGGCAACACCUCGUCAGCAGUACCUACACACAAAAUAACAAAUACUUGCACCCAACACGAUCAAGGGGUUGUCAAUCCCUCGACGGUUAAUUGGAAGGAUCAAAUCUCAUAGUGAUAAAUAGAUAAUUAAAACACAAAAUAAAUAAAUAAAAUUUGUAGCAAUGUAUUUUUGAUUUUAAUAUAUGAUAAAAAGUAGACCCCGGGGCCAUAGUUUUCACUAGAGGCUUCUCUCUUGAAAAUAGCAUAUGGUGGGUAAUUUUUUUACUAUUGAGCAAUUGAUAGAAAAUCAAAUAAUCAUGACGAUAUCCAAGGCAAUGAUCAUGUAUAUAGGCAUCAUGUCUGAGACAAAUAGACCAACUCCUACCUGCAUCUACUACUAUUACUCCACACACUGACCGCUAUCCAGCAUGCAUCUAGAGUAUUAAGUUCAUAAAGAACAGAGUAACGCAUUAAGCAAGAUGACAUGAUGUAGACAAAGUAAACUCACGCAUGAAUAAAUAACAUCUUUUUAUCCUUAAUGGCAACGAUACAAAUACAUGCCAUGUCCCUUUCUAUCACUAGGAUUGAGCACCACAAAAUCGAACCCAUCACAAAGCACCUCUCCCAUUGCAAGAAAAAUCAAUCUAAUUGGCCAAACCAAAUCAAUAGAUCUAAGAGAAAUACAAAGGUACAGAAUCAUACAUAAAAGAGUUCAGAGAAAACUCAAAUAAUAUUCAUGGAUAAUCUGAUAAUAAACUUACACUACAAAAAAAGACAUAUCCUGACAUUUUGGGCCGAACGAAUUUUUUUCUGUCAUACAUAUGACACUUCUAUGACGAUAAUUGUGACAAAACCCGGUAUCAUCAUAGAUGUGGUGGGCUCCUACUUCUAUGACAAAAAAUCAUGACAGAAAAUGGGCUUUUCAUCCUGGGCGGGCCGAAGACGCAACUGCAUGACAUUCUUUGGGUCGUCCAUGACAGAAAAAACCAUGGUAGAAGCGAGGGGGAGGAAAAUUUUGGGAAGUUGUCGGUUACGGUGGGAGGUCGGGGGCCGAGCGAUGCGUGUUUCUCUCGUACAGGUACACGCGUGCGUGCGAGGCGUUGGGCUCUAACUGAACCCGAGCGAUUGCACUGCAGGCUACGCGUUACUGAACCCGAGCGAUCGAUCGAUGGCUGUUAACUGAACCCGAUCGAGCGAUUCCUUCGCUACUGCUGCCAACUGAAGCCGAUCGAUUGGANNNNNNNNNNNNNNNNNNNNNNNNNNNNNNNNNNNNNNNNNNNNNNNNNNNNNNNNNNNNNNNNNNNNNNNNNNNNNNNNNNNNNNNNNNNNNNNNNNNNNNNNNNNNNNNNNNNNNNNNNNNNNNNNNNNNNNNNNNNNNNNNNNNNNNNNNNNNNNNNNNNNNNNNNNNNNNNNNNNNNNNNNNNNNNNNNNNNNNNNNNNNNNNNNNNNNNNNNNNNNNNNNNNNNNNNNNNNNNNNNNNNNNNNNNNNNNNNNNNNNNNNNNNNNNNNNNNNNNNNNNNNNNNNNNNNNNNNNNNNNNNNNNNNNNNNNNNNNNNNNNNNNNNNNNNNNNNNNNNNNNNNNNNNNNNNNNNNNNNNNNNNNNNNNNNNNNNNNNNNNNNNNNNNNNNNCCGGUGGAGUAGCGCGCGGUGGAGGCUGGAUGAACAGGAGCCCGUGGAGGCUGGAGGAGGUCGACGGUAGCCCAUGGAGGCUGGAGGAGGUCGACGGUGGAGAUGAAUAGUAUCCCGUGGAGUCCCGUUUUGCGGUACGCCACACCCCUCCCGAUGAACAGGACCCCCGUUUCGACCGUAGCGCUCCAACAUAAGUCCGUUUCAUCCGUUUUGCGGUACGCCACACCCCUCCUGAUCAACAGGACCCCCGUUUCGACCGUAGCGUUCCAACACAAGUCCGUUUCGUCCGUUUUGCGGUACGCCACACCCCUCCCGAUCAACAGGACCCCGUUUCGACCGUAGGAGGUCCGUUUCCUCCGUUUUGCGGUACGCCAGACCCCUACCGAUGAACAGGAUCCCGUUUCGAACGUGGCCGGUCGAACACAAGGCCGUUUCCUCCGUUGUGCGGUACGCCAGGCCUCGUUUCCAUCGCCUAUUCCGUCCAAGCCCUCCCGAUGAACACGAGCACGCAUUCCGUUCCGACCCAGUCGGUUGGCUCCCCAUGAACACGACGACGACGUUGUUUCUCUGUUCUGACCCAGCCAUGUACGUAUGCGCGAGUAGGCGUUUGAGACCCCGCCCGUAUGUACACAUACGUGUCCGUAUUUUCUUUCUUGCACCCCGGCCGCUGUACGUACAUGUACAUGCUACGUGCGCGCCUCUACUAUGACACGUGCGCGCCUUUACUACAACACGUGCGCGCCUCUACAUCGACUAGUAUGUACGUACACGUUCGUGACCAGGAUGACAAUGCUACGUACGCUUCGACCAGGUGGGUGCCGACUGUCAGGCACUUCCUUGCCUGCGAAGAUGUAGCUGGUGGGUUCCAGCAGUCAGGGGGGCAAAUCGUUUUUUUGCCCGGACACACUUCCUUGCGUGCGAAGGUGUAGCUGGUGGGUCCCAACAGUCAGGGGGACGGAUCGUUUUUUUUCACCCGGACGCACUUCCUUGCGUGCGAAGAUGAAGCUGGUGGGUCCCAGCAGUCAGGGGGAAACGUUUUUUCCACGAAAUAUAGUGGCCCGUCCGGUGGGUCCCAGCUGCCAGGUGGAGGAAUCAUUAUUUUCUGCGUAAUAAGGAGGCACUUCCUUGCUGCGGCCGUGGACCCAGCUGUCAGCCUCUCCACGUACAGUCCACGUCCGAUGGAAGUCGUUCCUUGACCACGUUGACCAGGCCGUGCCGAGAGCACCACGGUGGUGGACGACGGCGAGGCCUAGGAAGGGGACAACGCGGAGCCGGGAAAGACGCGGCAGUGAAAGCCCGCGCGGAGAGGAGUACGAGGGUUCACUGGUUCGGCUAUGGUGUGAGGCUGCCAUCGGCGCAGGGCCUGGCCAGCGGUGGGAAUAGUAGGGGGCGGUGAGGCCUCCGCGGCAGCACAGCCGGCCACGGGAGGCAGGAGCAUGCGGCACGACCGGCGCUGCUUUGGGCGGCUGGAGCAAGAAGACCAGAGGUUGAAGAAGCACUACAGCCGUUGGAUGGACAUCGUACGGUUACUGGAGCUAGAAUCGUUCAUACUGACUAAGUUGACAAACCCCUCCUUCCCCGUCAACUUAGUUGGCCCACAAGUCAUCCUCCCACUAUGGUGGGUCCCAGCUAGCAGGGGGGUAUUCAUUUUUUGUGCGUAAUAAGGAGACACUUCCUUGCGUGCGAAGAUAUAGCUGGUGGGUCCGACAUGUCAGCGGGAGGAACGUUUUUUCGCGAAAUACAGAGGCCCUUCCGGUGGGUCCCAGUUGUCAGGUGGAGGAAUCAUUAUGUUGCACGUACAGUCCACGACCGAUGGAUGUCGUUUGUUGACCACGUUGACCAGGCCGCGCCGAGAGCACCAUGGCGGUGGACGACGAUGAGGCCUAGGAAGGGAACAGCACGGAGCCGGGGAAGACUCGGCAAUGGUUGCCCACACGGUGGGGAGUACGAGGGUUUACUGGUCCGGCUGUCGUUGCCGAAAAAUAACAGGAGGUGUGGGUGAGUAGAGGAAUGGCCUGGCCAGCAAUGAAGUAGGGUGGGAUGGUGCGGCCUGUGUGGCAGCACAGCCGGCCAUGGGAGGCGGGAGCAGGCAGUCCCACCGGAGCUAGUUUGGGCGGCUGGAGCAAGAAGAUCAGAUAUUGAAGAAGAAGCACGACCGUUGGAUUAACAUCCAACGGUCACUGUUACUAGAAUCGUUUGUGGACUAAGUUGACAAAGCCAAAGUACACGUCAACCUAGUAGACCCACAAGUCAGCCUCCAAAUCUGUCCCAAACAACAUACAGCCAGAAAUUUCUAGCCAGAUUCAAAUUAAUUUUAAAUCUAAAUAUACCUUAAUUUAAAUUCAAUGAAAUUUUACCCGCACAAAAACAAUGAAAUUUAAAAUAUCAAAAUCCGAAAGAAAACAAUAUUUUGGAACUAAUUGCCUGUUUGCUGUAUUUUUUUCAUUUUACAGCCCAUUUAUUAUUACUUAUAGCCCAUUUCUUAUUACUUAUAGCCCAUUUUCUGGGCAAAAUGCAUCCCUCCUCAUCUUGAAAGAUUUCUGGCCCAGCAGGGCAUAGAAAAGCAAGUAGGCCUAUGUUGGUUAUUCUGCAAAAAACAAAAUAGCUGGCUAGCCAUUUUUCAGAAAGGAAAAAAACAAACUGGGCUGGUCAUGUGCUAAACAUAUGAAAUAAAAGCCUGGGCUAGACGGGCCACGGGUCCCGCACAACCCAGUUGAUACCCUUCUCCAUCCCGAAAAAACAAAAUUACUGCACGCGCUGCUGGGUCCCUACUGUCAUCCUCACCAUGUACAGUCAUCUCCUUAUUCCUCUCGGUUGUUGACCAUGUUGACAACACCGGAGGGUAGCGCCACGGCGAGCGAACUAAGGCGGAGGACGAUGGUGAGGCCUCAGACAGGAACGAACAGGAGCCUGGGAAGAUCACAGCCAGCCAUGGGAGGCGGGAGCAGGCGGUCCCACCGGCGCUGGUUUGGCUUUGGCGGCUCGAGGAAGAAGAGACUGAAGAAACGCGACAGACAUUGAAUGUCAAUCCAACGGUCAAGGUUGGCACAAUCGUUUUUUGACUAAGCGGACACCAAGUAGCAUACUUUUUUAUAUAUAGGAAGAAAACUGCGAGGAAAAUGCGUUCGUCUGCAGUCCUCCUCACAGGGAACGUUCACCACAUAAGUGACUAGGACCCUUGGUUUUCAACCGAGAGGUCUUGGGUUCGAGUCUGAGGAACUCUCAAUUUUGUCCUCCUUCCUUCCUCGCAAAAAAAGGGAAAGAAAAUCAAAGACUUGGGAAGGCGUACAGAAUAAGCUAGUGUACCAGGAAAGAGAUGUUGCCAAGUUUUAGAAAAAAGAAAGACGUGCUCAUGUAGCUGGUUCGAAUCCAAACCUAGACUAUGACUAUAUAUGGUGCUAUGCUACUCUAUAAGUAAUGAAACUGACAUAUCCAACGUUCGCUUCUCCUCUUCUCUACUUACUCUGCCUAGCAUCAGAAGCUCUGGCCGCAGCAACCAUGUUCGCUGGCUGCUCGUCCACCUGCUCUUCAGCAAGCAACAACCAGAUAUGCGCCAAGUCACCACCCGUACCAUCGCCUGUGGGUCUCAUCACACCCCCACCGACAUGUGCACUACAACCAAUUGCUCAUCGCAACCCGAUGCCAUUGGUGUGGAGCCACUGCUGCAAAUCACGCAGAGUCAUCCAUCGCGUCUCAACCACAAUCCGCAACCCUGGCCGAGUCUUCUACAAAUGCCCGAAUCAUGGGGUAAUAAUAUGUUUAAGUGUUGUUCUGCUGCUUUCAGUUGCUGAUUUUUUAAUAGUUUGGUUGAUGAUCUUCCAAUUUGAUUCGUGCAGAAAAGGGAAGAUUCGUGUGAUUUCUAUUUCUGGGAAGUUGCUGAUGCCGGGGAAUGCAACUACGCUGAUUAUUUGGUUAGCCAAGGAAUCCCAAUACCAGCAGGUUGGGGUGUUGGAUAAGUAACUGAAGGAACGACAGAAGAGGAAGAUGCAGAGCAGAAAGUUAAAGAUGCAGUUCCUCUGAUCAUGGCCAAGCAACAGCUACUGAACGGCCUUGACAGCAAUGAGGAGAUGAAAGAGCUUGUGAAGAUAAUGGGCAAAAUUGAUGUGCUCUGUAGGAUGAUUGUCUCUUUAUUUGCAGUGUAUAUAGCACUCGUAAUGUAUUAGGUGGCUAUGACAUGAGCACUUUGCUGAAACUAGUAAUGAAUGAAACCUGUGUAGCAGGCUGGGCGUAGUGUUGUGAAGAUCUAAUGAUUCCUAUUAAUGGAAAUCAGGGGGUAUCCCCUUUUGCUCAUAUAAAUAAAUAAAUAGCAGAGGCCCUGUUGGGUCAGCUUUGUUCUCAUUCGAAGACGUCGAGCAAAUUGCAGUCCAAUAGCAAAUUAUGUCAUCAAAUUCAAGUUUCACAACCAAAUAUGAGUACAACUAAACAACAAUGUCAUCAUGUUUUAGUUGUCAUACAAUCACCAAACACAAAUCAGCAUACAUAACAAGUGAUGUUCUCACAGCAAAAUACUAAACAACAUGUUCAUCAGGUUUCAGUUGUCAUAGCAAACACAAUUUCGCAUAGUAGAUAAAAAACGUCUUCUGACAGGCAAAUACGACAAAAGCAAUGUAAUCAUCAUCCACAACAGCAACGUCAACAUCUUUGCCAUGUGUAUCAGUCUGAACCGUAAUUCCCCACGGUGUCAUCUUCUUCUUCGUCCUCAACGUCCUCGAACGUUGGCUUCUUCUUGAUCAACUCUUGUAUGUCCACAGCACAACAUGCAAUCUUUUUGCCGGCAUCAUUGACGUGAUGGUUCUCAAAGAUAUUAGGAACAUUUGUGUUAUCUUGUACAUCAAGAGCAGUGUAAGCAUCAUCUUGUUGUGCAACUUCAUUAAACAAAUUCCUCUGCUCAAACCUUUGCAAUACUCUCCAGUCAUCGCUACAUGCAACUAUGUCUUCCAAGAAAAAUAUCUGGGUUGCUUGAUUUGCCAAAAUAAAAGGCUCGUUGGUCUGGUACGCCACCUUGACAUUGAUGGAUUUGAAAUAAUCAUCAGCUCUGGGUUUUACGAUCCUGGAAAACAGGUUAUACCAACGACAACACAACAGAACCACACACCGAUGAUCCUCGAAACUGGAGAUAUACUGCAACUGAACAAUGUAUGUUAUGUUAGCAUACAUUUCAGUUCUCUCUUUGUCAUACGUAUCCGUGCUCAUGAUGACACUGUUUUGUGUCUUCCUGCCUUUGUCUCGUGCAAGGGUGUUGUAGCGCACAUCUCCAACAACGCAAGAUUCAUAAUGUCUUACCCGAGUAUCAGGACCCAUUGCUAGUGAGUAAAGGGCAUCAUCAAUUGCCUACCCAUCCUACCGCAUCUUCUUAACCUAUGGUUAGAAAAUAGACAAGCUGAUCAUCUUAUGUACUCAAUAUAUUAAAAAAAACUGACAGUGCACUUCAAAAGCUUACAUGGUCCUUGAACCAUUUCGUAAAUCCUGCCAUAACCAGUUUGUCAAUGUUUCUUGGAUUUUGCGGUAGUAACUCCUCUUUGUAGAUGCUGCACAACAUAGUGAUUGUGUCAAACAUCUAAAUAUAUAAGAGUGUGAUGCAAGUUUAGUAGAUUACGAUGUAUAAGCUGUAGUACUGCACUUACUUGAUAUAAGGUAGUAUCUCAGGACAGUUAUUCAACACAUACCAAACCAUUUUGUCCAAAUCUUUAGGUUUGUCCUCUUGUCGACUCUUCCCUGUAACUCGAACAGAAUAAUCGAAAACAUUGAGCCCGGGAUUGUCUUCACCCACCUCUUUGCUAAGCUGAUCAGCUGUUUCAAUGUAUUUUGAGCAGAAUGUCAACGCUUCUGUAGCAAUGUAGGCCUCUGCAAUGGAACCCUCGGGUCUAGCUCUGUUCCUAACAUAGCCCUUGAAAGUGCCUAGCCGGCUUUCAAUAGGGUACAUCCAGCCAUACUGUACUGGACCUCUAAGUAGUGCCUCAUCAGGUAGAUGAACAGCCAAAUGCACCAUCACAUCAAAGAAGGCUGGAGGAUAUAUCUUCUCAAGGUCGCAUAGGAUAGUUGGUAUCUUGUCUCUAAGAUGCUCCAAAGCAUCUAUCCUGAUAUUUCUACUACAGAAUUCCCUGAAGAAUUGUCCCAACUCUGCAACUGCUCUGUAUAAGUCAGGGCGGCCCAAUCCUCUAAGGAUAACAGGUAAAACCCUUUGAAGUAGGACGUGGCAGUCAUGAGUUUUCAACCCUUGUACCUUGUUUCCAUCUGCACCGACUCUCCUUUCAGGGUUGGAAGCAAAUCCAUGUGGGAAUCUCACACGUGACAGGACCUCGCAGAAUUCUUUUCUUUUUACCUUGUCCAAGACGUACACAGCUGGUGCCAUAUCCCGUGGUUUACCUUCAUCUUGCACCUGCAAAUCCUUUCUGAUACCCAGGUGUGUCAAAUCAAUCCUAGAUCUUAAGGUAUCUUUCGUCUUGCCUUUAAUGUUAAGAAGUGUGCCGAUAAUGCUGUCACAUAAAUUUUUCUCGAUGUGCAUCACAUCAAGAUUAUGCCGCAGAUCCAAAUCUUUCCAAUACUCCAAGUCCCACAAAGUGGACCUGCGGGUACACAAUAAUCUCUCUUCUACCGUGCCAUGCUUCCUUUUCCCGCUACCAUUACCAGGAUGGUUUCCUGGUGUAAUAUGCAUGACCUUCUCUAAUUCGACUUGCAACUCAUCGGCUGUGAGCCUCUUUGGCGCAUCACGGUUUUCAUGUUUUGCACUGAACACAUGUCUUCGGUAUUUUCUAGGAUGCGGCUUGUCCUUGGCAAGGAAACAACGGUGUCCAAUGUAACAAAUCUUGCUAAGUAUUGCGUAUGAUAGCGGAUUCCUAUCACAGCGAACACAUGCAUUGUAACCAUGUGUCGUUCGCCCUGACAUAGUGCCCAAAGCCGGAUAAUCAUGGAUGCACCAAAUUACAACAGCACGCAGAAAGAAAUCAAUUGGUGGGCUGCGAUAUAGGUCUCGAGUGAGAACAUCCUUCCAUAGCUGUUGAAGUUCCUCCACAAGAGGCUCCAUGAACAAAUCAAAAUCCUUUCCAGGACUUUUUGGACCUGGGAUGAGCAAGGCCAUCAUGUAGUUUGAUUCUUUGGUGCAGACAUUUGGAGGCAUGUUGUAAGGGAUAGCAAGCACUAGCCACAUGCUAUAUGUGGCGCUCUGGUGGCCAAAUGGGUUAAAUCCAUCUGAAGCUAAGCCAAGUCUAAUUUUUCUUGGGUCAGCAGCAAACUCUUUGUGUUUAUCAUUGAAGCUUUUCCACUCACUACCAUGAGAUGGAUGGCUCAUUACAUUCUGAUCUCUGUACUCCUAGUUCCUAGAAUGCUACAGUACAUCCUCUCUUGUUUCAGCAUCAUGAAACAACCUCUGCAAUCUUGGUGUAAUUGGAAAAUGUCUCAGAACAUUAUGAGGAAUCCUCUUCACAGCUUCGCCAUCUUUCCAUCUUGAUGAUUUGCAUUUCAGGCAUUCACGUAAGUUGGCAUAAUCCUUCCGGAACAGAACACAAUUAUUCUUACAAACAUGGAUCAUAUCAUAUCCAAUUCCAACUGCACGAAGGAAAUUCUUCAUUUUACUGUAGGUGUGUGGCAGCUUAGACGCAUCUGGGAAAGAUUUGCGGAAAGCAGCCAACAUCGCAUCGAAUGAUUUGUUGGUCAUCCGCUCAGAUGUCUUCACCUGAAGAAAGGUGACCAUAGCUGAGAAUACUGACAGCUUAUUUCCUGGGGUGACAACAACGUUGCAUUGUUCCAACAUGCGGGCCCACCGUUUUUCUUCUGCAGGUGAAAGUUCACAGAAUGCUCGAGCAUUUCGUAGCAUUGUUUCAAUGUUGGUCAAACUCACUGGCUCCGCCACCACCACCUCCUCCUCCUCUUCCACCUGAGCAUCAAGCAGAUCAAGAUGGUGAUCUGCUGCUUCCACGUAGUCAAUAACAUUGAUGUUCACAGCUUCACCAUGAUGACCCCACCUAGUACAUGUGACCGACAUCCCAUACAAGUGUAGAUGAUUUUGCACAGUUGACUGGGGUCUUGUAACUGAAUUCAUACAACUGCUACACGGGCAGAGCACAUCUGAUUUCGGACCACCGUACUCAGCUCUGAUAAAGUUCAUGAAGUUUUCAACCCCCUCGACAUAUGCAACGGAGAAUCUUUGAGUAGAAGUUAUCCAAGUCCUAUCCAUCUGUUAGACAUACAAAUUAGUUCUUCUACUAGAUAUUACAGGAAAAACAUAUAUGCUUUUUUAUGAAGUCCAGAAAAAAAUACCUAGGUCGAUGCCUAAAGCUAUGGCAAGAUAUUUGGACGAGCAGAUCUAAGUAACGAAGUAUAUGUAAAGCUAAUUCAGCAAACAUAUUUGAGUGCUAAAUUAUGGCAGACUAUUUCAGCAGUCAAUGAGGCCGAGCACACAGCCAUCGAACUAUCGAAGGCCAUCGCAGCAACAAAGAUCGAGUAUAAAAUGGUGUAGAGCUAUUUCACCUAAUAGAUUGGCUACUAGACCAUGGCAAUCUACGUCACAAUAAAUAUAUGGCAGGAUAUUUUAGCAACUAAUCGGCCUUGGCAUGCCAUCUCAGCUAAGCAGAUUGAGUGCAGAACAGGGCAAGGAAGCUUCUUAAGCAGAGCAUAUUGACACUAAACUACUUCGGCAAACAGUAAGAUUAACAACGUCUAUCAGCUAACAUUCAGCGCUACACCGACAUGAAUGGGGCCUCAGUCUAGGAUGCGCGUACCGUGGGAGAAGCUGACCGCCAUGCGUCUCCACACGAACGUCGCCAGCGGUGGCGGCGCUGACCGCCAUGUGCCUCCACAAGAACGUAGCCAGAGGUGGCGGCGCGACUAGAGGACGGCAGUCUACGAGAGCGUACUGUGGGAGCGAGAGGAUCGCCGUGCGUCCCCUCAACGAACCGCGGCACCGACGUAUUGGUGCGGCGGGGAGGGCAGCUUUGGCGGAGCGAAUGGGGUNNNNNNNNNNNNNNNNNNNNNNNNNNNNNNNNNNNNNNNNNNNNNNNNNNNNNNNNNNNNNNNNNNNNNNNNNNNNNNNNNNNNNNNNNNNNNNNNNNNNNNNNNNNNNNNNNNNNNNNNNNNNNNNNNNNNNNNNNNNNNNNNNNNNNNNNNNNNNNNNNNNNNNNNNNNNNNNNNNNNNNNNNNNNNNNNNNNNNNNNNNNNNNNNNNNNNNNNNNNNNNNNNNNNNNNNNNNNNNNNNNNNNNNNNNNNNNNNNNNNNNNNNNNNNNNNNNNNNNNNNNNNNNNNNNNNNNNNNNNNNNNNNNNNNNNNNNNNNNNNNNNNNNNNNNNNNNNNNNNNNNNNNNNNNNNNNNNNNNNNNNNNNNNNNNNNNNNNNNNNNNNNNNNNNNNNNNNNNNNNNNNNNNNNNNNNNNNNNNNNNNNNNNNNNNNNNNNNNNNNNNGUGGGCGGGGGGAGUUUGGCGCAUGGUCGGUUUCUCCAAGUGCAGUCCCACGUGUCAGUGAAGAGGCAAGCCGAAGCGCGUUCCGUUUGCGUGAGCCGUGUACAUGACCGAACGUGUGUGGGGUGCAAUGCGACCGUGACAGGAGUGUUGUGAGUGUACCGCCUUUUUCCUUUUAAACUAGGUGCUUCGCCCCCUCAAAAAAAUAUAUUGUUGCUUCGCGCGAUCCAUCGAUACUACUACUAGUAAUCCGGUAAUCCCGACUAAAACGGCGCGGCCGAGUCUUUUCCCGCGCGAUAUGCUGGGAGGUUGGCUUAGUUGGGUUUUUUAGAUUUGGCUCGGUUCAAUAAAAAGCAGAGUUGGUGAUGAUGGUGUGUCUGUCAUCCUGCAAUAUAGGCCGUUCGAUCUAUAUCUAACGGAUAGGAAGGAAACUAUGACAAUUUACCCGCACUCCUCUCCACAUUUGCAGAUAAGGCUUUCCCUCGUUCAUCCUUUUCUCCCACAAGAUCUUGAUCUUCCGUGCAACACACGGGCAUCUUGCUAGUACUCCUACAAUAUGUAUAUUAUUGUGAAAGUUCAUAUACACUGGCCGAGAUUAAUGCAAACACGGCAUAUUUUCAUUACAUUUCGAACUUUUAUAGGACAGAAAAAUAAAAGAAACCCGACCCUAAACCUAUUCUACCGCGGCGACCGACGUCCUCCAUCUGCGAUCUCUAUGUACGGGGGCGGGGUUCAAGACCCGUGAAGUGAAGGUGCGGUCUCCGGCGAGGAAGAGUAGAACACGGGAUAUGGACCGGCCAGUUGGCACACCAUGCCCUACCGCCUCCCAUGCCCUACUCAUCCUCGGAGGAGUCCCCGACCUCGGCGGUGCCGGACGUUGGACGGCGGCAAGUAGGACGCGUGGCUGACGGUGCUCCCGUCGUCAGCCGCCAGCGGGGCCACCGCUUGUGCGGUCGCGUCCACGUACGACUACGCCGCUAUUGCGUCGCGAGAGGCGACUUGAGCGAGGGCGGCUACCUCGAGCUUCAUCGCCGAAGACAAGCUCUCCCGCAGAGCGUUCGCACUUGUGGUCAUGGCGGAUGUGGUGUCAGGUAGGAGGACGAUGCUCUAUGGUGUGGAGGUUAGUUGGGCGUUGCCGCUUUAAGUAGCACAUUCCGGUGAGGCCAAGCGUCCGGGUGCAUCAUUAAGUCACCGGAGUUGGUUCCUCGGGCACCGAGCCUCUUAACGACGACAUACAAACGGACGACAUGAAUGCGGGCAGCUGGCGCCGGCUGGGAACGCACCGUGCAACGGCGCGAGGGACGAGGGCUUUGGUGUGCCAGGGUAGUCAGCUGCGAUCGUGGCAACGUUGGAGAUGCCCUUUGCUCAAAUGCGAUCCCAGCAUGUCAUUGAAAAAGCAAGACGACCCGGCAUGGUCUCAGGUCCAAAGGAUGCAGUUGGCCGCGCUACACCACUCUGCAGAUGCGUCACGGUGCCCCGUGCAUCCUCGACGAGCCGGGUGUUGGGGUGUGUUUGGAUUGUGGCCAAAGUGCACCUUACCAAAAUUUUGGUCAUGACCCAAAGAUUGGUCUUUGUUUGGAUGGUUGCCAUUUUUUUGGCAUGCCAAUGAAGUCUAGCCAACUCUAGUUCAUUUUUCUUGCCAAUGUUGGCCAAAUCAUGGGCAACCAAUACCUCAACCAAAAUUUUAGUCAUGACCCAAAGAUUGGUCUUUGUUUGGAUGGUUGCCAUUUCUUUGGGAUGCCAAUGAACUCUAGCCAACUCUAGUUCAUUUUUCUUGCCAAUGUCGGCCAAAUCAUGGGCAACCAAUACCUCAACCAAAAUUUUGGCUACCCAAUACUUUGAUGGGGCAACCUUGGGCACAAACCAAACAUACCGUUGGUCGUGCCACAACACUAACGCCACCCUCGGCACACUGAAACCGACCGUGUCUAGCAACGAUAUGAGCGUGUCGCUCACCGCGGUCGCCGUGUCCAGAGGCGGUGCUGGAGCUGCGCCCCGUUGUUGGCCCCAACGACCCACGUGAACGGUUGUCGGUGGCGAGGAGGUCGUGGGCCAGCUCCUCCAUUGGACUAGUCUACGCUACGUCGUCCCGACGGGUGUGCCCCACAUGUCGGUUUCCCUGUUUUCCCGGCCAUAUUCAAGCGCCAGUGCUCCGCGUUGCGCAUUAGGCCUUUCACUAUGUAGGCCAAGCGAGACAACUUAUUGUUUAUUUGAGCCAUUCAAGUGUAAUCAUGUGGCGUUUGCUUAUUUCUCAUUCCUCUCCAACCCUCUUCUCCAUCGAUCAUGUCGCCCUCCAGUCGAGUCCAUCCUCCCGCAUGCCUCAUUUGAACAUUCCGCCGAGUAUCAUUCGCAUGUACCCACCCUAGUCCUCUUUCAAUAGAUCUCUGGACUCCGAGAUGAAAUCGAGAGGGAAUGAGUGGGGGCACGUGAUACCUAAGGCGGAUUCAACAUUUUGAACCGGUGAUCAUAGCAUCCGCAAAUCAUAUAUAAAGGGUAUUCAAUGUUCUUUUCGUUUUUGAACGUACAAUGUACUCCCUCCUAUCCUUUCUAGUUUUUUUGAACAUCAGUACAGACACAAGCGCUCAUAUACACAUGCAUACACUCAUCCCUAUGAACGCACACACACACACCCUACCCCUAUGAGCACCUCCGAAAGACUGAGUCGGCAUAUCAUCUUGAAAUUUACGAAGUCACCGUAGGCACCUUCGUCAUCGAUGGGAACGUCUCCUCCCACUGAAUGCGCAUCGCCGGAAAUCCUGAAAUAAAUCUAGGAAUAAAUGCGAGCACCAGGAUUUGAACCCUGGUGGGCUAGGGAUACCACAGUCCCUCUAACCAUCCAACCACAGGUUGGUUCGCCCUAUCCUUUCUAGUUUACAUAUAAGUUUUAUGUGUAGUCAAAGUAUCUCUACUAUGAUAAAAAAGGUAUCAACAUUCAACAAUGCCCAAUCAAUAUUGUUAGAUUCGUACGUACUCCUAGAUUCGUACUCAAGAUGGUUUCCAAUUUGACUAUUGACAAGAUUAAUAGUACAUGAGAUGUAUAAUGUGAAAAUUAUAUCAUUGGAAACUCCUUUCACAUACGAAAUUGACCGCUUUGUGUAAGUUGCAUGUCAUAUAUUAUUACUCUAACCUUUGGUCAAAGUUAGCCUCGAAAAAUGCAUUAGACCCUGUAUGCUUUGUGUAAGUUGCAUGUCAUAUAUUAUUACUCUAACAUUUGUGUAAGUUGCAUGUCAUAUAUUAUUACUCUAACAUUUGGUCAAAGUAGUAUAGUGGAAGUGGAUCCUCUGACGUAGGUAUCCCUGCCUUACCCUCCCUUUCGGUCACUUACUGGCGGACCCCAUGCUUGCUAGGCCCCACAUGUCAGUUACUCAAUGGGUUUGGCCACGUCAGGGGAUCCUCAUCCGUAGUAUACUCCCUCUGUUUUUAUUUACUCCGCAUAAAACGAAGGGAGUGGUGGUAUAAUAAAUGACGCGGGCGGGGGAGGGGGAGGGACGUCGGUUUGCUCUCAACUGCGGUCCCACAAGCGAGCGAAAACGCAAGAUGAAGCGCGUUCCAUUCGGUGAGCAACAUGGAGGGUCCAGCGUGCCGGGCUGCAACACGAACAUGCCAAGAGCGAUGUACAGUCAAAACCGAUUGACCGGUUGUCACCGGAACCACUAUUCACACCAGAACCUUUGCUGCUCGGCCUACGCCAGCCACUGCCCUAAAACCACACCAAAUCUCCAGCCCAUUCCCCCACCUUUCGAUCCCCUAGCCCGCAUCAAGCGUCCCCUAGUUCGCCGGAAAGCCAUGGUGCGUUACAAGAUCACUUACUACAAGAUGCUGACGCCGGAGCGCCGCGCAGAAAUCACGGCGGUGAUCGGUGCCACAGACCUCCGUUCCCAAGCUUGCUUUGUGGCGGGCCAAUCCCCGAGUUCUCUGGAGACAAGCUACGAGGAGGAGGAAGCCGAUCCAUUGUUCACUGCGGAGGUCGCGGCGCAGAAGGCCCCCGAUGGGUAUGAGACGACGGACGUCAACUUCGUGCCGGCGUUCGAGUCCCCCAUGGUGCAGGCGGACCAGCGGUUCAACAUGGCGAUACUAAAGGAGGACCGGGAGGUAGAGGCUCAACUCGACACGGAGCGCGCGCAUGCCGUUGCCAUCGAGGCUCUCCUGCAGGUGGAACCGGAUGUCGUGGAUGUGAACCGGGCGACGGAGGCUCAACUUGAGGCGGAGCGCGCGGAUGCCGCUGCCAUCGAGGCCCUCCUGCAGGCGGAACCGGACAUCCUGGACAUGAACCGGGUGAUAGAGGCUCGACUCGAUGCAGAGCGCGCGGAUGCCGCUCUCAUCGACGCCCUCCUGCAGGCGGAACCAGAAGUCCUGGACUUGAACCGGGCGGCGGAGGCUCGACUCAACACAGAGCGCGCAGAUGCCGCUGCCAUCGAGGCCCUCCUGCAGGCAGAACCGGACGUCCUCGACUUGAACCGGGCUGUGCUCUCGUCCGUGCAGAGCGCCCGCACGCUCCGCUUGAACGAGUAGCUGGAGGCCGAGGACAACCAUGGUGCGGAGACACACGACGACAGCGACGACUGGUUCGCGUCGGCAGCCAAAGACGACGAGGCCAUCUCUUUCCGCGAGCAGUGAUAGUUUUUCUUUAUGUUGUUGUUUUUAUGGAUCUUUUGCUGUGUAAAAACAUACUAUAUUUGUUAUGCAAGUCGCCUGGCGUGGGUCAGUCUACCAUUUCAGGCGGUUGGAUGAAUAUCCUACGUCUCCUAACCCUUCUUUCCUUCUUCCUCACCUCUUCUUCUUUCCCAACAGACCACCGCAUGGGCCGUACGGAUAAUCCCCAACAUGCGGUUGGAUAAACAUACUCUAUGAACGAAAAUUAUGUGUCAGCGAUAGGCUGGCUGAGUUUGGUUUGUUCACAUGCGACAGCACGUGUCAGUGAGGAUGUGUUCCCUUGGUUGGGUUUGCAGCGUGCAGGAGCGACUGUGUGAGGGUGCGGUGCGACCGCGGCGUGCAGGAGCGACCGUGUGAGGGUGUGGUGCGAUCGCGAUAGCCGUGCGCAAGUGUACCUCCUCAUUUUGAAAACUUUAGGCAAGCUUGGCAAAAAUGUGUGGCGAAGUUUGGCAAUGCAAGGCUUAGACCCAAACAGGAUAAGUACGUACGUACUAGGAGUACUAGUGUUAAAAAAGAAAGGCGGGGUUUUCCUUCGCGGGAUUUAAUCGAUACAAAUCCUCGUUUCAUGUGUCAAUUAAUGUGUAUUUUUUUCUCGAAAGACCAACGAGCUAACCAUCUCAUUCCUCAUCGCUUGAUUAAUGCAGCGCCAUGCAAACCAACCUUCUCACUUCCACAUGCAUGUAGGGGAUAUUAAUGUCCUUGGUUGCUAACCCCAUCAAUUUUGCCUCGAUUAGUGUUAGUGGCCCUUUACAAAUUGUAAUUUUGAUAUACUGGCCUUGUGUACAAAAAAAUGGAGGUAGUAACUAUAUUUGACUUCCUUCCCCAUUGCGGUGACGUCGAUGAUUUUUUUUUUGCGGUUUGGCGAAGUGCGUUCAACGGAGAACACCAUUGAGGGAGACCACGGUAAGUCGUUCGCAAGUGCCGCCUGCAAGCCGAGACAACCGCCUUAUUUGCAUCCAGGAAGUCCUUUACUAGUACUACUACUAGGAAUACUAGUGCGGUGAGAUGGUUUCUCGAAGAAGACGAUGGAGAAGCGGAGUCAGCGAAGAGUGAAAUGAUGGUUGCUUCGUCCGUGCUUCGUGAUUUAAAGCCUCACUGCUUUCUGAUUUGUGAUAGAAGGGACAGGGGAGUAGAGUAUGUGCUCUAUACUAUACUACAUGCGUCCAAGCAUGGAGAAAGAGGAGAGACGUUGCAUUUUUCUAUUCCUUCAAUCAAUCAAUCAGGGAGCUUCGGUUCCAUCUUUUUGGCUUUGGCAACACCGUCCACAAUGGUUCCCACGAUGCCAAAAGCUAUUUUCACAUUUGGCUACACAUUGUGGAUGCCCUUAACCGUACCACUUGGUUUUGCUCUUGUGUGCUAUCUAUACAAAUCUCAAUUAUAUUGAUCUAAAAAAUUAUAGAAUCAAGAUUAGUAAAAAGGAGGUGAAUUUGCCGCGCGGAUGGCGGGGGAGGUUUCCUAUUUUCAGAGGAUGUUGUCCUGGCGGUUUGCUAACAUGCGGCCCCACGUGUCAGUGCUUUACCAAGCCGAUCCGCGUCCCACAUGAGGCAGAACAACGGCAGAAGCAACACGUGGUUAAGUUGAAGAAGAUGAGGGAGAAGCGGAUUCAACAACGAGUGAAAUGAUGGUUGCUUCGUCCCUCCAACUUCUUUUUUUAGCAUUAUUACUUCGUCCCUCCAACUUAACUGCGGGAAAGGUGCAGCUUUGUGAUUUGACGCCUCAUUGCUCAUUACUACGCCAGCGCCACGACUGGGGUGCUUCACCCCGGCUGCUCUGCACUGUAUUCCGAUAUGGCACGUGGAGCCGGUAGCUUGAUGUCCCACAUGUCGGCGAAAGGGACUAGAAGAUUUAUGAAAGCGAGCGCUCCACUCUUACGACGGAGGAGUAGACGACACGACGGCCCAGUGAACUGUCACUUGUACUGUAUAGUACUAUAGUUUUGCUGUUUCGCACAAUCCAUCGUUACAAACAGGAAAGGGCGGGAUUUUCCCCGCGCGGUAGAUGAUACUGGCCAUACAUUUCAAAGGCAAUUUUUAAUGUAUGCAAACUGAAUAAUUAUAAGUAACAAUAUGAUAUCUAGUAAAACUAAAAACACAUAUGAUUUAUUGUGUUAGAGUGUAGUAGUAGUGCUGUAUUGCAUAGUUGUUACAUGUAACAUGCGAGAACGUGUAGAGAUGUAGUUUUGGAGGGCCUACAGAGAGAAAAGCGUAAUACGGUCAACGAACUUCAGAAUAAGCUGAUUACGAUCACUAUAUACGUUUUGCGGUGAUUAUCCAGUCACUUGCUCACAGUUCAGCAUCGGAUUGCACUCUGUUGACCGGCCAAAUAGUCUGCGUGGCGCCAUGUUGACUAGUUAAAUUGACCAUGUUCCUUGUGGGUCCCACCUGUCAGUUCGCAUAGGAAAAAGAUCAGGUAAACACAAAUUUACGCAGGCGCGACAAGGCUCCAACCCGUGCGCGGGAAUCACCUAGUUGUGUAUGUGUCUGUCAGGGCCUGAUGUAUGUGCAUGCAUGUGUAGGUUGAGUACUUGAGCGUGAGAGUGUGUGUUGGUCAUGUGGUGUACUGGUGUGUGCAUGCAUGCGUGCGUGUGUGCAUGUGAGUGUUGCGUGCAUGCGUGGCUGCGUGUGUACGUGUGAGUGUUGUGUGCAUGCGUGGGUGCAUGUGUUUGUGUGAGUGUUGCGUGGAUGCAGUUCGUGUGCAUGCGUGCGUGUGUAUAUAAUCACCACACCAGCUCAUGUGUAUUAAAACAGACGGCUCAGCAUACCAAUACAAGGCCACCUUGUCCGCUGUGCCCGCGGUCAUGACUUCAAACCACCGUCAAAAUAUUUUUUUGUCGUUUGUUUUCAUUCUUACUAGCAAGAUGCCCGUGCGUUGCACGUAACAUCAAGAUGCAUUUGUAUGACUUGUUUAUCUUGUGAGAGAAAAGGAUGAACGAGGGAAGGGCCUUAUUUGCAAAUGUGGAGAGGUGUGUGGGUACCUUUUUGCAAAAUUGCCAUAGUUUCUUUCCUAUCCGUCAGAUAUAAAUUGGACGGCCUAUAUUGCAGGAUGGCAGGCACAUCAUCAUCACCAACUCUGUUUUUUAUAAGAGUGUAUUUUAUGUAUUUUAUAAGAGUGUAGAUGUAGAGUAGAUACAAGUCGAUAGGUGGGCAUGAUGGUAGUGAGAUAAUGUGAUGCAACACUAGAGGUGCCACAUGGAGCGUUUAACUGGUCAACUAGUCAUGUCAUGAGCAAAUACGGAGUUGUACGGUGAGCCCGUGACUAUAUAAUAACCACUAAACGUAAACGGUGACCGUAAUGAGUGGAUUAUGAAGUCCAAUGUAUGUAUGGUGCUUUCGCUUCAAAUACAAUGAUCGUCAUAGCAUAUAUCGCGAGAGAAAGAUGAAACACGCGUGAAUUUUCUAGGGGCUUACUUUUAGAGGACCUGGAGAUAGUUUUGUGUGCAUACGUGAAAGGGGCGUACAGGGGGGGGUAUGCGAUGGAGAGAGAGAUGCUCUUCGUUUCUCUUUAUUAUGACUAACUUUGUAUAUAGUAUAAAAAUAUACAAAUUCACAGUGCGGAAUAAAUAUCAUUGUGGGCACCAUGCAAUGCAAAUUAGCAUUCGUACUCCUCCAUAUAAAUUUGUAAUGUUGUAUAUAUGUAGAAACUCUAAAAUAAUUUUUUGGCCACACUUUAUUCAAAAGGAAUGUUGUAUGCGAAAUAAACGUGAAGAGAGGGCUUUUUAGAUCAAUGGGGUACGUGAUGUAACAUGUGUGAAUGUGUAGUUGAUGCAUUUGGUGGGGCCUAGAGAGGUAUGUGUGUGUAUUACGUAUUCGAGAGAGGCAUGGAUACAGGGGCCGAUGGGGGGGAGUGGGAGAGAUAGCACGAGAAAUGAGAGUGGUCUAGAGAGAGAGACGAAUAUGACGUCACAACAAGAGAUUCCAUUCCCUUGAGUGUGUAUAUGCAAGGGGGGAGGGAAUAGAGGCACCAGGAGAAAUUUUCUGUGUGUGUGGUGUUUGUGUUGGUAUGUGUGGGUGUGAGAAGAUAAUGAGACGUGGGGGCAGAGGGUGUGUCAGCGCAUGAGGUCCGGUGGGUCGAGGUGAGGCCCUUCAUUUGGUUCCGUCCUGCGCCACAUUGGUCGGCCCAUGAUACAUUUAGGAAGACCCAUGGAUGACUAGUUGUACAAGACAAAGAUAGCAGAAUUGUGAAGGACUCUGUGUCCACUGACAAAGCUGGCUAGGAUUUGUAACCCUAGGUUCUCGGACUAAGGUAACCCCUUUAUCUCUGAUAUUACUAUUCAUCCAACCUAACUUUAAGGGGCAUCCUACAGAAUGCUCUGCUAGAAUCAUACUCGUCGAUUAGGAAGAGAGGUGUGAGACAAUGUGUGAGAGACAUGCAUAAAGAUAAUGUGCGUACAGGAGACACGUAGGCAGGUCCAUGUAUAUAGAAAGGGUCGAUGAGGAUUAUGCAUGUGUAUGUUUGCGAGAGGAAGAGUGCUUGUGAUAAAGGUUAGUGAAAACAGUUGUAAAUGGUUACGAGAGGGAGGGAGGGUUAUAUCUAGAGCAUGUGUGCGAGAAAGACACCUCGGGAGAGAGUGUGUGAGCAUGUGUGAGAGACCGCCGAUGGAGAGUGAAACUACAUGUAAAAGACUGCUCUACACAUUGAUUAAAGAUAUAAAUUGUAUCCAAAUAUUAGGAUGGGAUCAUGAUAUUUGCAAUUCGCGUAAGGAGCGGUCAUUGAUCCAUCAGACAUCUAGAUUCUAUCGAAUUUGAGCAUGUCUAUGUUAUUAUUCGACACAAUUGAUCCACAUAGUUAGUAUUUUGAACUCCAGACAAUGCAUCGCUUUAGCAAUCGAAUAUAAACGUGAGUAUAGUUCAUGUUGUGUGUGUAAAGCACAUUAUACAUACGAAAGUUACACAAUGGACAUUAUAAAUAGCUACCUAUGAACUAGCAUACAUUUGAAUUCAACUUAAGGUGGUUUAAAAAAAUCGAAUUCAACAUGAAGUCCAUUCAAUUAUUUGAAUUUGAUAUCAUGGCAUUUGUAAACCAUACCUAAAUUAUGGGGGCACCAAUCUUUGCUCUGAUUUUGUACAUAAUAGCAUAUAUAGUCGUGUACAAAAUAGAUUCAAAUUUAGCUCCUCCAUUCCAAAAUAAUCAUAGUUAUAGGAUUUUCAAGUGUCAAAAUUUCAAAAAGAAGCAGAUAAUUUAAUGAGGUUUCAAACAUACAAGGUCAAAUAUAACAUUGUCUAUUUAGGUCAAUCCUCAUAGUUCAAGAGUACUCUAAACGUGAAUGCUUGUGUUUCAAAAUUUCGAAUGAAGCGCCAAAAGAGCCUCUACUCGCCCGAAACCGCGUGAGACCAAUGUUUGGUAGUACAAGGAAAUUACUUUUCUAAUAACUCCGACCCGUGAAACCUACCGGCCCGACGCCCAAAGGUCUAAACCGGGGUAGGUUUGUAGCUUCAUCUAGACGCCACACAACCGCCUCCGAAAAACAUUCAUACACAAUGGCCGCCUAAGCACACAUGCACGCGGCCGAAAUCGCUCCCGCCCACUAUUUGGGACACCUGGGAUUACCAUCCUACCCCCAAACCGUAGUAGGUCCGAAAUUUAAGAGGGGGGCAAAGUUUGUACUUUCCCCAAAUUUCAAACAAGCGCGUCCCAUCUUCUGUUCAAAAAAGCCAAAAACAAGCGCGUCCUAGACCGAAACAUGGUUCCCCCCCACCCAUCUGAUUCCCCAUUCAUACUCCAUGGGUGCCAAAACUACCUCUCCACCAGCCGCGAAACCCCGGCGUCCUCUGUCCGCCACCCCAUCCCACCCAUCAACCGCCGCCCUCCUCCAUCACGCCGGAGCCGAUACCCCGAUAUCGUCGUCCACCGCAACCUCAACCGCAACGCCCUCCACGGCUAGUAGUUGAAGCCGAGGCCGAGCCGUCCGUACUCGAGCCAGUUCAACCACGCCGUCCUGCGCCUCACUGCUGCCGCUCCAACUUUUCCACCCUCCACCGCACCGGAGUUGUUCCUGCUACGCCAUCCUUCGCCGCCUCGGAUCUGCUUCCCCUCUGCCGACAUACGACCACGGCAACACAGUCAACAAUUUGGCCAUGGGUUCAUCCAAGCCUGCACCCUCCAGAACAUUGGUUUCCCCGGUAAAAAGAAGAAGAUCGGCGCGACAUGUGGAGGUGACCACACCGGCAACCGAAGAAGGUACUCCUCUUCCCUUAUUCGUGCAAAUCUUACGUCUCUGCUUGCACGGUAUUCAUCCCACAGAAGACACUAGUUGACCGCUUCUUCUUGAUACUAGAUGUUCCUAGUAACUCGCGAUGCACAAGGUUUGUCCUCAUAUACUAUUUCACCUUAGCUAGAGGUCCGUCGCCCCCCUGAAUUUCAAUUUCUGGCUAGUUGAUUCCCAAUUAACGGAAGCAUUCCCCGGCGUAAUAGGCGCUAGUAUGACUAUUACGCCUGGGAAGCAGCGCCUUGGUGUUUAUCUUAGGGGCGUGUGCGGCCUAGAGCUACUGGCGCCCGAUUUGGAGGUCGUCCGGGAUUAAAGGGAUGGCCUGGGGGCGCUGCCAAGCACGGCGGUAGUGUGAGGUCAAUGGGAGGCCGGGACGGCGGAGGCAGGUGUCUGGGCCGGUGGUCGCUGGCGGUUCGAGAAAGAUCGUCAAUAGUGACUGACGGGAGGUAGACGAAGGCCAUCUGCCCGUUCCUUAUAGAUCAGACGAUUCAUUAAAAAAAUCGACUCACCUAUUUAUUUUCAGUCGACUGUUAUCUUAGAUAUGACCACAUGUGGUGGUGUGCUGGAGGAGUACCUGCAUUUCCUGUGCUCAUAUAUUACAAAAUCAUACGGACUAGAAUCUAAUUUUGUUUGCCAUGCAAUGUUGUAGAGCUAUCAUAUGUCUCCUGUCAUUUAUUUUUCAGCCACCUGCUAUCUGCUACUUUUAUAGUCCAUCUAGUUCGGCACACACUUCACCCAUACUCUCACUAUUGUGUUUUUAUGCAAGGGUAUUUCAGAGUCUGCCUCGAGAGAAGCAAAAAAACAAAAGAGACAAGUCGUGCCAGCUUUCUACGCGGCUAGGCACGGCACGUUAUAGCGCUAUAAAGGGUGCAGUGUCAGCAGAUGGAGACGGUAAACAUAGCUCUGGAGUUGAUGACCUCGCUCACAAUGAACCACCAUCCCAGGUGCUUGCUUUAACUUCGCGGUGUCAUAUGUGGUUGCAUGUUCCAUAUGGUGUCUAGCUUGUAUUCGAAAGGCCGAAGUCGGUCUUUAUUAAGAUAAGGAAAUAUAUUUUUUACAUGAACCACCAUCCCGUGAGCACCAGAAGACAAAUAGCUAGUCAGGGCACUGGCCGAGCCAGUGACAAGCCCAACAAAGACAUGCAUCACCUGGAAGCCAACUAAAAAGCCGCGAUGGUGGCAAAGCAGCCCACCUCCCACCAGGCUCUCAGGUCCUAGAUGAUCAUGUUCAACACUCCAGCCGGAUGUCUAGCUUGUAUUGCUUCCAAUUUGGUUAAAUGGCAUCUGCUUAGCUUACACAUUAUACCUUUGAAUAUGACAUGCCUUUCUAUUUUUGGUACAUACUAGUACAUCUGUGUAUUAACCAUGUUCUUACAUCAAACUAAUAUUCUUGUGUAUCCCUCAUCAAUCACUUAUGACGAGGCAGGCAGGCAAGGGGACUACUCCUCAUUUAAAGAAUGCAGCGUCAGCCUCCCGACAUGAUUCUCAAGAAACAGAAAUGCUAGAUGAAGAUAGUGAACGUAGCUCUGUAGUUGAUUACAGCAUUUCCCCUACACUAGCAUCGUAGGUGCUUGCUCUAACUUGGCAGCGUGAUAUGUGGUUGCAUGUUGCAUAUGGUGUCUAGAUUGUAAUUCUUCCAAUCUAGUUAAAUUGCAUGUGCUAGUCUUCUUAGCUUAUACUCCCUCCGUCCCAUAAUGUAAGACGUUUUUGGCACUAAAUUAGUGCCAAAAAACGUCUUACAUUAUGGGACGGAGGGAGUACAUUAUACCUGUUAAUGUGACAUGCCUUCCUGUAUUUAGUACAUAGUACAUCUGUCUAUUAAGCAUGUCCUUACAUAAAACUAUUGUUUUUUUGUAUCCCGCAUCAAUCAAUAUGACGAGACACCUUUAGUAUAUGCAGUGCGAUAUUAGUUGCAUCUUUCAUAUGAUUUAUAGCAUGCACUGCUUCUAAUUUGUUGAAAUUCCAUUUAUGAUGGGACGCUUCUAACUUGGCAGAGUCAUAUUGGUUGCAUCUUUCAUGUGGUGUCUAGCUUGCAUUGCUUCUUAUUUGCUGGAAUGGUUUCUGCUUAGUUUACACAAACAGUUGUGAACAUGCCAUGUCAUCCUGUUUUUCGUACAUAUUCCAUCCUGGUAUCAUGUGUUUGCCUUACAUCAAAGUAGUGAUUGUCAGUAUCAUGCAUGAAUGAGUUCUGAAGAGAGAAUUUUAUUGCUUUUUCUUGUCGGUUUUACUUGACAAUUCAAAACCAAUAAAGUGGAAGGAAGUUAGCAAGGCAGCGGAUAAAGGUGCUCCUUUUGAACGGAGGGCCUCUACAGUUUCUACUCCUUCACACCCCAAGAUGAUUUCCAAGACAACACAUGCAUAGACAGUCAACAAAGCUGUGUUUAUGAUGAGCAUGUCUCCCCUAGUGCAGCAUCACUGGUGCUCCCUCUAACUUGGCACUGUUAUAUGUGGUUGCAUGUUAUGUGUGAUGUCUAGCUUGUAUUGCUUCUAAUUUUGUUGAAUUCCAUCUGCUUACUUUACACAUUAUACUUGAAUAAGACAUGUGUUCCUGUUUCUAGAACAUACAAUAUCUGUCUAUCACACCAUGUUCUUACAUCAAAUUACUACUGUUGUGUAACCUACAACAAUCACUUAUCAUAAGACACGUUUGACUUCGGAGUGUGAUAUAGGUUACAUCUCACAUUCUUUUCUAGCUUGUACUACUAAUUUGUUGAAAUGGCACUUAUGACGAGACAGUUUUAACUUGGUAGAGUGAUAUUCGUUGCAUCUUUCAUAUGGUGUCUAGCUUUCAUUGCUUCUAAUUUGUUGAAAUGCCUUCUCCUUAGUUUACACAUCAUAAGCUGUGAAUAUGCAAUGCUGUGAAUAUACAAUGGCACUAAUGACGAGAGACCUCUAACAUGGUAGUGUGAUAUUGUUUGCAUCUUGCAUAUGAUUUAUUUCUUGUACUGCUUCACAUUUGUUUAAACGCCAUUUAUGAUGAGACACUGUUAACUUGGCAGAGCCAUAUUUGUAGCAUCUUUCAUAUGGUGUCCACCUUCCAUUGCAUUGCUUCUAUUUUGGUGAAAUGUCUUCUUCUUAGUUUACACAUCAUAGUUCUGGUUAUCUCUUCCGUCCUGUUUUUCAUACAUAUUACAUCCUCCUAUCAUGUGGUUUUCUAACAUCAAAGUUUAGUUUGUCUGCAUCACGCAUCAAUUUGUUCUGAAGAACUAAAUUGUUAUUCGUUUUUCUUGUCGGCUUAACUUAACAUGGCACAGAGAAAGAGGAAGAAACACAGAAUGGCAGGGAAUGAGAAGCGGAUGAAUCCCGCAGAUUCUGCUGGUACUGAUGGUGCAAUAGAAGGUCAAAGUCCAACGGAAAAUUCUACAAAUACGGCAUCCCAUGCUACACGAGCUGCAAAAAAAGCCAAACAGAAACAAAUAGAUGCCACCAAACAAGCAGAGACAGCCCUAGUUCUUGCAACACCUACCACAGUACUACCAGCUGCACGACUUACUCAUGCGUCAACUGAGCUAGCAGCACGUUCCCAAGCUCCCUUGCCACCUGACACUAAUUCCCAAGCACUCUUGACACAAGACGAGUUGGCAAUAUCAGAUGAACCUUGUGAGCUUCAACAGCAAGAAGGUAGUUGCUGGAGUCAAGUUACAGUUGCAUGCUUCUUUAUAUGUAGUCUCACAGUUUGAUGUACACUAACACUUCCUAUGUUCGUUGUUGGACUAGCACCUAGGAGCAAGAGGAAACAAACAUCAGGGAUAAUGCUCAAUAGGUUAACUAAAUCUAGAGGAGGAAGAAUGGAGAUCCGUUUUGAGGCAGGUUUAAAAAGGCCACAUGAUGCUACAGAGUCAGCCAAGUUAGUAUCAGAGGCAACGGUUGCCGUUAGGUGUCAUGUACAUAUCCUCCCAACAUGGAUUCAGUACAGGAAUGACAAAGACGAAACCCAGUUCAACACCUUCCUCGACCAUUUAUCUGUAAGUAUGGUUAUGUAUGGAAACUAGUAAUACCAUCUUGCUCUGUCCCAUACUUUCUAGGUUGCUGAUAAUGAGACUCCCAUAAUUUUCAAUAGAUGAGGUUCAAGUUGGAUAGCCAAGAUGAUGCAACCAGACAAGCUUGCACCCAUGUUUUCAAGUCUUCUCUGCGAUAGUAUCGGUAUAACUUGAGGAAAAC